AGAUUAAUUGAAAUCAAUGAGAAACAUCUCUUUCUACAAUUUGAAACCCUUAAGACUCUAGUUUAGUGCUAAGAUUAAGGAAGUAGAGUGGUUAGUGAGUUGUGAGUGGAAAUAUAAGAAUUAAUAGAGAGGAAGUAAUUAUGGAACUAUUAUGGAAUCUGUUGUUAAUCAGUUGAAUGCGUCUAUGAUAGUUACAAAGAGUGGACUGAGUAUAAAAUGU
rnacentral:misc_RNA from 1 species